AUUGGACGCUGGCGGCAUGCUUUACACAUGCAAGUCGAGCGGCAGCGCGGGGGCAACCCUGGCGGCGAGCGGCGAACGGGUGAGUAAUGCAUCGGAACGUAUCCUCGAGUGGGGGAUAACCCAGCGAAAGUUGGGCUAAUACUGCAUGAGCUCUGAGGAGGAAAGAGGGGGACCUGCGAGGGCCUCGCGCUGGAGGAGCGGCCGAUGUCCGAUUAGCUAGUUGGUGGGGUAAAGGCUUACCAAGGCGACGAUCGGUAGCUGGUCUGAGAGGAUGAUCAGCCGCACUGGGGCUGAGACACGGCCCAGACUCCUACGGGAGGCAGCAGUGGGGAAUUUUGGACAAAGGGGGCAACCCUGAUCCAGCCAUGCCGCGUGAGUGAAGAAGGCCUUCGGGUUGUAAAGCUCUUUCGGACGGAACGAAAUGGGCGGGACUAAUACUCCUGUCUGAUGACGGUACCGUAAGAAGAAGCACCGGCUAACUACGUG
rnacentral:rRNA from 1 species